rnacentral:rRNA from 1 species
UACGUAGGGGGCGAGCGUUGUCCGAAGUUACUGGGCGUAAAGCGCGCGUAGGCGGUCGCUUAAGUGACUGGUGAAAUCCCCGAGCUCAACUCGGGAGGGUCUGGUCAUACUGGGCGACUGGAGUGCGGGAGAGGUGAGCGGAACUCCUGGUGUAGCGGUGAUAUGCGUAGAGAUCAGGAAGAACACCCGUAGCGAAGGCGGCUCACUGGACCGUAACUGACGCUGAGGCGCGAAAGCCAGGGGAG